GACCCUGUUGAGCUUGACUCUAGUC
rnacentral:ncRNA from 6 species